rnacentral:rRNA from 1 species
AACGAACGCUGGCGGCAGGCUUAACACAUGCAAGUCGAGCGCCCCGCAAGGGUAGCGGCAGACGGGUGAGUAACGCGUGGGAACGUACCCUUUACUACGGAACAACUCCGGGAAACUGGAGCUAAUACCGUAUGUGCCCUUUGGGGGAAAGAUUUAUCGGUAAAGGAUCGGCCCGCGUUGUAUUAGCUAGUUGGUGGGGUAAAGGCCUACCAAGGCGACGAUCCAUAGCUGGUCUGAGAGGAUGAUCAGCCACAUUGGGACUGACACACGGCCCAAACGCCUACGGGAGGCAGCAGUGUGGAAGAUUGGACAAUGGGCGCAAGCCUGAUCCAGCCAUGCCGCGUGAAUGAUGAAGGCCUUAGGGUUGUAAAGUUCUUUCACCGGAGAAGAUAAUGACGGUAUCCGGAGAAGGAGCCCCGGCUAACUGCGUGCCAGCAGCCGCGGUAA